GUCACAGUGUCAGGGAAUUUGGAGGUCUCUCUUUAGAACGAAAAGGCAAAGACCAUCAAGGAGAACGCAGUCUCAAAGAAAAAUGAUGUCCCCAAAACUGGAACCACACGGGGGACCCCAUUAAUCACCACGCGUGCACGCAAACCCGGACAGCAUAAUUUAAAAGCCAAGUUGCGUGGAACAGUCGGCCCGCGUCACGGAGGCUGGAGGCUCUACGUGUGAGCAUGGAAAAUGAAAGCCUGGAAGUUUCGAUUCCAUUUUAAAGCAAGUCUCGGAAUUUGGUUUUGAUCCCCGGAGAUGCAUCUCGCGCGCUCCACGUUCCCUCGGUUCACUACCAAAUCAGAAACAGAAUUCUCCUCUGCGCAACUUCUCAGAUUGCUCAAGAAAAUAUCCUCCCUGUCUGUCAGAGUGGGGGAAACGGGAGAGGACACCAGGCCUCAAGCCAGAUCAAAGCUAUCCUGAAACCAGAGGACCUGGGAAGUCAUAGGGAUCAUUUUCCCUGAGCACAGAGUUUGUGGAGAGAUGGGGAGAGAGCAUCUGGAAAAUCCCAUGGGAGACAACUGGCAUUGUCCUUAAGGCCUUGUUUUUCUCAUCGGACUCAAUGAAACUCAGCGAAUCCAGGUUAUUAUUUACUUCUGGUCACUCCCGCAGCCUCCAAGAUUUAAGCCCUGCUGAAGCUGUUUUCCCAUGGCCCGGGGUGCCUCAAAAGCUGGCCCGGAGGAGGAAUAUGCAAAUUAUGUUUCUCAAUUCCUCAUUCCAACCCGCUAUAACAAUACCUGUGAAUCUUAUAUGCUCUCUGAACUAAUCACAAUAAUUUUUUAAAUAAUUUUUAAAAUGAUUUUAUUUAUUUAUUUGAGAGAGAGAGAGUAUGAGUGGUGGGGAGAGGCAGAGGGAGAUGGAGAAGCAGAUUCCCUGCUGACCAGGGGACCUGACACAGGGCUUGAUCCCAGGACUCCCAGAUCAUGACCUGAAUGGAAGGCAGCCAUCUAACCAACUGAACCACCCAGGUGCCCCAUCAGACCGAUGCAGCCAUUCUGGGUAUACCCAACCAUUCCCGCAUUCCCAUUUUGGGGAGAAAAAGACGGCAUAUGUGAGAAAAGUUUCUGUAUCUUGGAUCAUCCCAGAGCAAAGGCAAAAUCAUGCUCAGGAUUGUUUUAGCAGAAACAGGUUUAUGAAAUGGAGAAAGACAUUUCCAAUAUUAAUAUUAGGUACCUAUUAUGAAACAGCCCAGGAAGAUACCACACCUUUAAAUUUCUAUUAAACGAGUUAAAUUUGAAAGAUUCCUUUCAAAGAGAAUAAAGAAGGAUUUACUAUCAACAGAGGAAUGAAAGGAAUUUAUUGCAAAUGUUUGGAAAGUCAUUUGGAAAGGAAGACAGAGGGAAACUCUAGCUGUAAUGAAGGGUUUCUACUCUUCUCUAUGUUAAGUUACAGAAUGCUUCACCAUGGUGGACUGGUCCCAACUCCCAGCUUGGGAAAGGGAAAGCAAGCUGUCCAUUGCCCCCUCCGCAAAGCCCACCAGGGGGUUUGAAGGUCACAGCCUCAGUCUUUGUGAAGCAGCCCAUAACAUUUCUGAAACACAGAAAAUCAGCCCUUCAUAGUUUCUUCCCAUAAACACAAUCCUGAUAUCAAUGAAAGCAAAUCACACUUCUGAAAAGAUGACACUUGAUACUAAGCUUCUAUUAUUUACAAGAUUCUGUGGUAGAUACUGAGGUCCUUAAAGAUUCAUCAAACAUGGCCUCUCCUCUGAGGAGAAGACAAGCAGUAUGUCUGAACACUGCAUAUGUGUGGUCUCAGCCAGUCUUAUGAGGGCUCACAAAGAGCCAUUAUCAUAGUUUUUUUUUCUUAGGAAAGCAGACACUCUGAUAACUUAGUAACUUAACCCGGGUCAAAACACUGGAGGGAAACCAAGAAGAUUUCAACCUCUCUGUGACUUGAAGGUCAGUACUUUCUACAUUGUCACAGCUUAUCUCCAAGGAGGACGAGAAAGAGACAAUACAAUGAAGUUGAGAAUAUGCCAAGUCAGUUUGUCCCAACCAUGCUUCCCAGGAAGCAAGAGGUCCCUGUGGUAGCAUCCACUUCCAUGACCAUAAUGACAGCUACCAUUGACAGAAAGAACGAACACAGAUAGGCCCAUACAACACACCUGACAGGAAUGGAUUCACACAACAUGUUGGUGAAGACGACAGACCGAGUCAGGGCCACACUCAUGCUUCAUAAUGGUCAGGUUGCCUACUUUGCUAAGACUUAGUUUCCAAGUCUAUAAACUGAUGAGGUCCUAUAAGAACAUCCU